rnacentral:rRNA from 1 species
CUUGCCGUUGUUUUUGAUUAAAAUUACACAUGUAAGUAUCCGCACACCAGUGAAAAUGCCCUAGAACAAAAAGGAGCAGGUAUCAGGCACGAAUCUUCAGCCCAAAACACCUUGCUACGCCACACCCCCACGGGACAUCAACAGUGACAAAUAUUAAGCCAUAAGCGAAACGUCCAAUCUAAAGCUUGACUUAGUUAUAAUCACCAAGGGUUGGCCAAUCUCGUGCCAGCCGCCGCGGUUACACGAGAAACCCAAAACAACGACCAACGGCGUAAAUUGUGGCUAGAAUAACUGCUAAUAACUAAGAAAUAAACCAACGCCUAACCGUAAAACACAGGUAAAAUGAAACUUCUUACACUAAAAGCAAUUUGAACCCACGAAAGCUAAGAAACAAACUAGGAUUAGAUACCCUACUAUGCUUAGACGUAAAUAAGACACCAAACAACAUAAGUGUCCGCCAGAGAACUACAAGCGAAAAGCUUAAAACUCAAAAGACUUGACGGUGUCCCACACCCGACUUAGAGGAGCCUGUCCUAUAAUCGAUAACCCACGAUAAACCCCACCACCUUUUGCCCAACCAGCCUAUAUACCGCCGUCGCAAACCUA